AUAGAUAUUAAUGUGCAGAUUUUCAGGUUCCUGCUAAUCAGUGUCACAGUAUCCAGUGGAGGAAUUGUGCUCACCCAAUCUCCAACAACCAUGACUGCAUUUCCAGGGGAAAAUGUCACCAUCACCUGCAGUGCCAGCUCAAGUAUAAAUUACAUUCACUGGUACCAGCAGAAGUCAGGAAAUACCCCCAAACAAUGAAUUUAUAAGACAUCCGACCUGCCUUCUGGAGUCCCAACUCUCUUCAGUGGCAGUGGGUCUGGGACCUCUUACUCUCUCACAAUCAGCAGUGUGGAGGCUGAAGAUGCUGCCACUUAUUACUGCCAGCAGUGGAGUGGUUACCAACCCA